rnacentral:rRNA from 1 species
ACUCAAAGGAAUAGACGGGGGCCCGCACAAGCAGCGGAGCAUGUGGUUUAAUUCGACGCAACGCGAAGAACCUUACCUGGGCUUGACAUGUGAGUGACCGUUCUGGAAACAGGACUUCCCUUCGGGGCACUCUCACAGGUGGUGCAUGGCUGUCGUCAGCUCGUGUCGUGAGAUGUUGGGUUAAGUCCCGCAACGAGCGCAACCCCCGUCGUAUGUUGCCAGCAUUUAGUUGGGGACUCAUGCGAGACUGCCGGUGACAAACCGGAGGAAGGUGGGGAUGACGUCAAGUCAUCAUGCCCCUUAUGUUCAGGGCUACACACGUGCUACAUUGGCGCGUACAGAGGGCUGCGAUACCGCGAGGUGGAGCGAAUCCCUUAAAGCGCGUCUCGGUUCGGAUAGCAGGCUGAAACUCGCCUGCUUGAAGGCGGAGUUGCUAGUAAUCGCGGAUCAGCAUUGCCGCGGUGAAUACGUUCCCGGGCCUUGCACACACCGCCCGU